GUAUAUAUGUAUAUAAAUGUAUAUAUGUAUGUAGAGUAUAUAUAUUUAUACUGUAUAUACAUAUAUACACUAUAUAUAUAUACAUAUAUAUAUACACACAUAUAUAUAUAUAUAUAUAUAUAUA
rnacentral:miRNA from 10 species